GACGAACGCUGGCGGCGUGCUUAACACAUGCAAGUCGAACGCUGAAGCUCAGCUUUUGUUGGGUGGAUGAGUGGCGAACGGGUGAGUAACACGUGAGUAACCUGCCUCCUUCUUUGGGAUAACGCCCGGAAACGGGUGCUAAUACUGGAUAUUCACUGGUCUUCGCAUGGGGGUUGGUGGAAAGGGUUUUUCUGGUGGGGGAUGGGCUCGCGGCCUAUCAGCUUGUUGGUGGGGUGAUGGCCUACCAAGGCUUUGACGGGUAGCCGGCCUGAGAGGGUGACCGGUCACAUUGGGACUGAGAUACGGCCCAGACUCCUACGGGAGGCAGCAGUGGGGAAUAUUGCACAAUGGGCGCAAGCCUGAUGCAGCGACGCCGCGUGAGGGAUGGAGGCCUUCGGGUUGUGAACCUCUUUCGCUCAUGGUCAAGCCGCAACAAUGGUUGUGGUGAGGGCAGUGGGUAAAGAAGCGCCGGCUAACUACGUG
rnacentral:rRNA from 1 species